UACGAAGGGGGCUAGCGUUGCUCGGAAUCACUGGGCGUAAAGGGUGCGUAGGCGGGUCUUUUAGUCAGGGGGGAAAUCCUGGAGCUCAACUCCAGAACUGCCUUUGAUACUGAAGAUCUUGAGUUCGGGAGAGGUGAGUGGAACUGCGAGUGUAGAGGUGAAAUUCGUAGAUAUUCGCAAGAACACCAGUGGCGAAGGCGGCUCACUGGCCCGGUACUGACGCUGAGGUGCGAAAGCGUGGGGAGCAAACAGG
rnacentral:rRNA from 1 species